rnacentral:rRNA from 1 species
UUAAGCGACCAAGCGUACACGGUGGAUGCCCUGGCAGUCAGAGGCGAUGAAGGACGUGCUAAUCUGCGAAAAGCGCCGGUAAGGUGAUAUGAACCGUUAUAACCGGCGAUGUCCGAAUGGGGAAACCCAGUGUGACUCGUCACACUAUCAUUAACUGAAUCCAUAGGUUAAUGAGGCGAACCGGGGGAACUGAAACAUCUAAGUACCCCGAGGAAAAGAAAUCAACCGAGAUUCCCCCAGUAGCGGCGAGCGAACGGGGAGGAGCCCAGAGCCUGAAUCAGCAUGUGUGUUAGUGGAAGCGUCUGGAAAGGCGCGCGAUACAGGGUGACAGCCCCGUACACAAAAGCGCAUGUGCUGUGAGCUCGAUGAGUAGGGCGGGACACGUGGUAUCCUGUCUGAAUAUGGGGGGACCAUCCUCCAAGGCUAAAUACUCCUGACUGACCGAUAGUGAACCAGUACCGUGAGGGAAAGGCGAAAAGAACCCCGGCGAGGGGAGUGAAACAGAACCUGAAACCGUGUACGUACAAGCAGUGGGAGCCCCACCACUAAGCCAGUGGUGAACUCCACAUACGCAUCCUUUGCGGAAGAUGCGGUUAACGGAGCGAAAGCGACGUUCAACCUAAAAAGAAGCAGAGGGGGCUUAGUGGUGGGGUGACUGCGUACCUUUUGUAUAAUGGGUCAGCGACUUAUAUUCUGUAGCAAGGUUAACCGAAUAGGGGAGCCGGAGGGAAACCGAGUCUUAAUUGGGCGUUAAGUUGCAGGGUAUAGACCCGAAACCCGGUGAUCUAGCCAUGGGCAGGUUGAAGGUUGGGUAACACUAACUGGAGGACCGAACCGACUAAUGUUGAAAAAUUAGCGGAUGACCUGUGGCUGGGGGUGAAAGGCCAAUCAAACCGGGAGAUAGCUGGUUCUCCCCGAAAGCUAUUUAGGUAGCGCCUCGUGAAUUCAUCUCCGGGGGUAGAGCACUGUUUCGGCCAGGGGGCCAUCCCGGCUUACCAACCCGAUGCAAACUGCGAAUACCGGAGAAUGUUAUCACGGGAGACACACGGCGGGUGCUAACGUCCGUCGUGAAGAGGGAAACAACCCAGACCGCCAGCUAAGGUCCCAAAGUCAUGGUUAAGUGGGAAACGAUGUGGGAAGGCCCAGACAGCCAGGAUGUUGGCUUAGAAGCAGCCAUCAUUUAAAGAAAGCGUAAUAGCUCACUGGUCGAGUCGGCCUGCGCGGAAGAUGUAACGGGGCUAAACCAUGCACCGAAGCUGCGGCAGCGACACUGUGUGUUGUUGGGUAGGGAGCGUUCUGUAAGCCUGCGAAGGUGGCCUGUGAGGGUUGCUGGAGGUAUCAGAAGUGCGAAUGCUGACAUAAGUAACGAUAAUGCGGGUGAAAAACCCGCACGCCGGAAGACCAAGGGUUCCUGUCCAACGUUAAUCGGGGCAGGGUGAGUCGACCCCUAAGGCGAGGCCGAAAGGCGUAGUCGAUGGGAAACAGGUUAAUAUUCCUGUACCUGGUGUUACUGCGAAGGGGGACGGAGAAGGCUAUGUUGGCCGGGCGACGGUUGUCCCGGUUUAAGCGUGUAGGCUGGUUUUCCAGGCAAAUCCGGAAAAUCAAGGCUGAGGCGUGACGACGAGGCACUACGGUGCUGAAGCAACAAAUGCCCUGCUUCCAGGAAAAGCCUCUAAGCCUCAGGUAACAUCAGAUCGUACCCGAAACCGACACAGGUGGUCAGGUAGAGAAUACCAAGGCGCUUGAGAGAACCCGGGUGAAGGAACUAGGCAAAAUGGUGCCGUAACUUCGGGAGAAGGCACGCUGACACGUAGGUGAAGCGGUUUACCCGUGGAGCUGAAGUCAGUCGAAGAUACCAGCUGGCUGCAACUGUUUAUUAAAAACACAGCACUGUGCAAACACGAAAGUGGACGUAUACGGUGUGACGCCUGCCCGGUGCCGGAAGGUUAAUUGAUGGGGUCAGCGCAAGCGAAGCUCCUGAUCGAAGCCCCGGUAAACGGCGGCCGUAACUAUAACGGUCCUAAGGUAGCGAAAUUCCUUGUCGGGUAAGUUCCGACCUGCACGAAUGGCGUAAUGAUGGCCAGGCUGUCUCCACCCGGGACUCAGUGAAAUUGAACUCGCUGUGAAGAUGCAGUGUACCCGCGGCAAGACGGAAAGACCCCGUGAACCUUUACUAUAGCUUGACACUGAACACUGGUCCUUGAUGUGCAGGAUAGGUGGGAGGCUUUGAAGUGUGGACGCCAGUCUGCAUGGAGCCGUCCUUGAAAUACCACCCUUUAAUGGCUGGUGUUCUAACGUAGACCCGUGAACCGGGUUGCGGACAGUGUCUGGUGGGUAGUUUGACUGGGGCGGUCUCCUCCUAAAGCGUAACGGAGGAGCACGAAGGUUGGCUAAUCCUGGUCGGACAUCAGGAGGUUAGUGCAAUGGCAUAAGCCAGCUUGACUGCGAGCGUGACGGCGCGAGCAGGUGCGAAAGCAGGUCAUAGUGAUCCGGUGGUUCUGAAUGGAAGGGCCAUCGCUCAACGGAUAAAAGGUACUCCGGGGAUAACAGGCUGAUACCGCCCAAGAGUUCAUAUCGACGGCGGUGUUUGGCACCUCGAUGUCGGCUCAUCACAUCCUGGGGCUGAAGUAGGUCCCAAGGGUAUGGCUGUUCGCCAUUUAAAGUGGUACGCGAGCUGGGUUUAGAACGUCGUGAGACAGUUCGGUCCCUAUCUGCCGUGGGCGCUGGAGAACUGAGGGGGGCUGCUCCUAGUACGAGAGGACCGGAGUGGACGCAUCACUGGUGUUCGGGUUGUCAUGCCAAUGGCACUGCCCGGUAGCUAAAUGCGGAAGAGAUAAGUGCUGAAAGCAUCUAAGCACGAAACUUGCCCCGAGAUGAGUUCUCCCUGAGACUACAAGUCUCCUGAAGGAACGUUGAAGACGACGACGUUGAUAGGCCGGGUGUGUAAGCGCAGCGAUGCGUUGAGCUAACCGGUACUAAUGAACCGUGAGGCUUAACCUU